rnacentral:rRNA from 1 species
UAACUGUGGUAAUUCUAGAGCUAAUACAUGCACCUAAGCUCCGACGCCCGCGGUUCGGGGCUUUAAAGGGAGGCGGUCGGUACAGAGCGAUCUUGCCCCGCGUUACCUCUCGCUUCCGCAGGGUCGAAGGGCGCAGUUAUUAGAAUCAAAAACCGACGCGGACUCCGGUCCGACAAGUUUAUUUAAGCUUCGCACGGCUUAACGUUCGCCGUUGUCGCUGCGGGCUUUAAAAUGAUAAAACGGUUUUGAUGACUCUGAAUAACCCCGAGCCGAGCGCUCAGGUCUUUUUAGCACCGGCGCCGUAUCCUUCGAGCGUCUGCCUUAUCAGCUCGAUUGUAAGUUAUUCGCUUACGAUGGCUGUAACGGGUAACGGGGAAUCAGGGUUCGAUUCCGGAGAGGGAGCCUGAGAAACGGCUACCACAUCUAAGGAAGGCAGCAGGCGCGCAAAUUACCCAAUCCCGGCACGGGGAGGUAGUGACGAAAAAUACCGAUGCGAGACUCAUUCCGAGGCCUCGCAAUCGGAAUGAGUUUAUCCUAAAUCCUUGCAACGAGGAUCGAUUGGAGGGCAAGUCUGGUGCCAGCAGCCGCGGUAAUUCCAGCUCCAAUAGCGUAUAUUAAAGUUGCUGCGGUUAAAAAGCUCGUAGUUGGAUUUCACUACCCGGGCGGGGCGCGGCCCCCGUACUUUAAACCCUCCGCUGAGUUCUCCCACCCGCUUAGCCCCGCCGCAUCCUGCGGGCGAGAUUAAUUUCUCGGCCCUCGGUCGGCGGCGGCGGCGGCGUCGGGUAGACUGCGGCAGGGGCGGGACCCACGGCCCGUCGUUUUCCCGACUAACCGCGUUCGUCGUUUCGAACCGCGUUCGCGCGCUCUUCGUACGUCGUUUACGCGGCGGGUCGACGGCCAAAGAGGAAAAACCCCCGCUCCCGCUCCGGGUUGAUACGACGACCGUCGGCUAUCUCGCGGUGGCUGCUCUUCGCCGAGUGACUCCGCGCGCCGCCGACACGUUCACUUUGAGAAAAUGAAUGUGCUCAAAGCGGGCUCAAACGAGUUCAAACAAACUUAACGCCCGAAUGGUGAUGCAUGGAAUGAAGGAAGAGGACCUCGGUUCCACUCCCUUAUUUUGCGAAAACCGAAAUAAUAUGUAGCUCGGUUUUUUCCGUCGGUUUUUCCGCGGAAUCCGAGGUAAUGAUUAACGGGAACUGACGGGGGCAUUGGUAUUGCGACGCUAGAGGUGAAAUUCUUGGACCGUCGCAAGACCUCCUACUGCGAAAGCAUUUGCCAAGAAUGUUUUCAUUAAUCAAGAACGAAAGUUAGAGGAUCGAAGGCGAUCAGAUACCGCCCUAGUUCUAACCGUAAACUAUGCUGACUAGCGAUCCGUCCGCGUCAUACCUUAACGCAGACCGGACGGGCAGCUCCCCGGGAAACCAAAGUCUUUGAGUUCCGGGGGGAGUAUGGUUGCAAAGCUGAAACUUAAAGGAAUUGACGGAAGGGCACCACCAGGAGUGGAGCCUGCGGCUUAAUUUGACUCAACACGGGAAACCUCACCGGGCCCGGACACCGGAAGGAUUGACAGAUUAAAAGCUCUUUCUCGAUUCGGUGGGUGGUGGUGCAUGGCCGUUCCUAGUUGGUGGAGCGAUUUGUCUGGUUGAUUCCGAUAACGAACGAGAUUCUGCCCUACUAAAUAGUCGAGAGGAUGAUCCUCCGCGGUCUUUCGGGCUCUUGGCCGGGCGGUUAACGGCGCGCGGUGGGUCGUCGAACGUCGCGCUGGCGCGUUCUCCGUCUCCCGCCCUUCUUCGGAGGGGUUGGGGGGUGGCGUCGCGUUAGUGCGCGGUCGGCUCCCGCCGCCGUCGCGUCCGGACCGUCGUCCUAGUCGCGGGGGCGUCCCUCUGAAUUCUUCUUAGAGGUAUCGGCGGCCUUUUUUUCAAGCCGUAAGAGAGGGAGCGAUAACAGGUCUGUGAUGCCCUUAGAUGUUCCGGGCCGCACGCGCGCUACAAUGGAGGGUCCAGCGCGCUUUAUCCCCCUCCGAGAGGAGCGGGUAACCGCUGAAAUCCCUUCCCGAUUGGGAUUGGGGCUUGCGAGUGUUUCCCAUGAACGAGGAAUUCCUAGUAAGCGCGAGUCAUUAGCUCGCGCUGAUUACGUCCCUGCCCUUUGUACACACCGCCCGUCGCUACUACCGAUCGAAUGAUCCAGCGAGGGCAUCGGACUGGCGCCCUGGGCUCGCGUUCGCUUCGCGCGGACCGCGCUCUAAGGGUCGACGGAAAGAUGUCCGAACUUGGUCAUUUAGAGGAAGUAAAAGUCG